GUCUCUAUGGAUCUCUAUGGUGUCUCUACGGGGUUUGGGGGUCCCUAUGGGGUCCCUAUGGGGUCUCUAUGGGGCUGGGGGUCUCUAUGGAUCUCUAUGGUGUCUCUACGGGGUUUGGGAUCUCUAUGGGGUCUCUAUGGGUCCCUAUGGGGUCCCUAUGGGGUCUCUAUGGGGUCCCUAUGGGGCUGGGGGUCUCUAUGGAUCUCUAUGGUGUCUCUACGGGGUUUGUGAUCUCUGUAGGGUCUCUAUGGGGUCUCUAUGGGGUCUCUAUGGGGCUGGGGGUCUCUAUGGAUCUCUAUGGUGUCUCUACGGGGUUUGGGGUCCCUAUGGGGUCCCUAUGGGGUCCCUAUGGGGUCUCUAUGGGGCUGGGGGUCUCUAUGGAUCUCUAUGGUGUCUCUACGGGGUUUGGGAUCUCUGUAGGCUCUCUAUGGGGUCCCUAUGGGAUCUCUAUGGGGCUGGGGGUCUCUAUGGAUCUCUAUGGUGUUUCUACGGGGUUUGGGAUCUCUAUGGGGUCUCUAUGGGGUCCCUAUGGGGUCUCUAUGGGGCUGGGGGUCUCUAUCGAUCUCUAUGGUGUCUCUACGGGGUUUGGGAUCUCUGUAGGGUCCCUAUGGGGUCCCUAUGGGGUCUCUAUGGGGCUGGGGGUCUCUAUGGAUCUCUAUGGUGUCUCUACGGAGUUUGGGGUCCCUAUGGGAUCCCUAUGGGGUCUCUAUGGGGCUGGGGGUCUCUAUGGAUCUCUAUGGUGUCUCUAUGGGGUUUGAGAUCUCUAUGGGGUCUCUAUGGGGUCUCUAUGGGGUCUCUAUGGGGUCUCUAUGGGGUCUCUAUGGGGCUGGGGGUCUCUAUGGAUCUCUAUGGUGUCUCUACGUGGUUUGGGAUCUCUGUAGGCUCCCUAUGGGGUCCCUAUGGGGUCCCUAUGGGGUCUCUAUGGGGUCCCUAUGGGUUCUCUAUGGGGCUGGGGGUCUCUAUGGAUCUCUAUGGUGUCUCUACGGGGUUUGGGGUCUCUGUAGGCUCUCUAUAGGGGCUCUAUGGAGUCUCUUUGGGGUCUCAAUGGGGUUUGCGGUUUCUGUGGGUUUCUAUGGGGUCUCUAUGGGGUCUCUAUGGAUCUCUAUGGAUGCCUAUGGUGUCUCUAUGCGGUUUGGGGUCUCUAUGGGGUCCCUAUAACAUCUGUAUGGAGUCUUUAUGGGGUCUCUAUGAGGUUUGGGGUCUCUGUGGGUCUCUAUGGGGUCUCUAUGAGGUUUGGGGUCUCUGUGGGUCUCUAUGGGGUCUCUAUGAGGUUUGGGGUCUCUAUGGGGUCCCUAUUGGGUCUCUGUGGGGUCUCUAUGGGGGCUGAGAGGUCUCUAUGGGGUCUCUAUGGGGCUGGGG
rnacentral:lncRNA from 1 species